AUACGGAGGGUGCGAGCGUUAAUCGGAAUUACUGGGCGUAAAGGGUGCGUAGGCGGCUUGAUAAGUCGGAUGUGAAAGCCCCGGGCUUAACCUGGGAAUUGCAUUCGAUACUGUCAGGCUAGAGUAUGACAGAGGUUGGCGGAAUUCCUGGUGUAGCGGUGAAAUGCGUAGAUAUCAGGAGGAACACCAGUGGCGAAGGCGGCUAACUGGGGCAAUACUGACGCUGAGGCGCGAAAGCGUGGGGAGCAAACAGGAUUAGAAACCCCAGUAGUCC
rnacentral:rRNA from 1 species